ensembl:lncRNA
AACAUUCAUUGUGUUAUUGCAUUAAUACAGUUUAAACAGUAGAUAUUUGGGGGAAGUUACUAACAUAAAAGUGGAAUAUUGGAAUAUGUCUGACAAGAGGAACAGUCCUGCCCAGUGUGAAAGCCAACACACACAGCCUUACACACUCAGCUCCCUGUAUUCUACAGCUGCACUGCUACAGCUUCACCUAGAGGGGGCGAUAGAAACAACCAGAUUUAAGGGACAGGACAAACAAGACCAAUGACAGACAACACAUCUUAUCUGAAAGGCUCUCCUGACAUAGCUGUCCCAAUAGAGUCACUAUGAUCCAGAAACUGACUGGCCAUAGGACAUUUUGGAGCCAGAUGGACCGGUCCAUCUUUAAGCACAGUGGGCUGGCCUAAAUUGGGUGUUUGCAAAGAACAACUGUUUUGGGGGCGGGGGGGGUAGUGUGUAUGAAAAUACAUGUAAAUGUUGAAAAGAAAAACAGUCACAUUAUCAAUCAUCACAGAUCACUGCACCUGUACAUAGCCCAUCUGUAAAUAGCCCAUCCAACUACCUCAUCCCCAUACUGUAUUUAUUUAUUUAUCUUGAUCCUUUGCACCCCAGUAUCUCUACUUGCACAUUCAUCUUUUGCACAUCUAUCACUCCAGUGUUUAAUUGCUAUAUUGUAAUUACUUUGCCACCAUGGCCUAUUUAUUGCCUUACCUCUCUUAUCAUACCUCAUUUGCACACACUGUAUAUAGACUUUUUGUACUGAAUUAUUGACUGUAUGUUUGUUUAUUCCAUGUGUAACUCUGUGUUGUUGUAUGUGUCGAACUGCUUUGCUUUAUCUUGGCCAGGUCGCAGUUGUAAAUGAGAAUGUGUUCUCAACUAGCCUACCUGGUUAAAUAAAGGUGUUCUCAACUAGCCUACCUGGUUAAAUAAAGGUGUUCUCUACUAGCCUACCUGGUUAAAUAAAGGUGUUCUCAACUAGCCUACCUGGUUAAAUAAAGGUGUUCUCAACUAGCCUACCUGGUUAAAUAAAGGUGUUCUCAACUAGCCUACCUGUUUAAAUAAAGGUGUUCUCAACUAGCCUACCUGGUUAAAUAAAGGUGUUCUCAACUAGCCUACCUGGUUAAAUAAAGGUGUUCUCAACUAGCCUACCUGGUUAAAUAAAGGUGUUCUCAACUAGCCUACCUGGUUAAAUAAAGGUGUUCUCAACUAGCCUACCUGGUUAAAUAAAGCUGAAAUAAAAUAUAAAAAAAAUGUUCACAAUCCUCGACUGAUUUCAAUACAACAUAAACAUGUCAUAAAUAAAUAACGGCACUCACCCUAACGUCAGGACCAGACUCCACAGACCACAGGUUGGGUUGGUCCUCCUCUUCCUCCUUGUCACCAGUGGGAAACCAGCUAGGAUAAUAUUACACAGAUGGAUUAGAUUACAUCAGAUAUUCACUUAUUUAUUGAUUUGAUAAUUAAAGUAUUAGGGCUCUCCAGCCGGAGACAACAUUAUAUAUGACCUCAGUUAUAUGACUCUGUCAACUAGUAACACAGAGAUGAACAUCACAGAGACAACAUUAUAUAUGACCUCAGUUAUAUUACUCUGUCAACUAGUAACACAG